AGGUAAACUCCUAAUUAAACUUCUAAUUUAAUUCUAGUUUUUUAAAAAAACUUUUACCUU
rnacentral:tRNA from 1 species